UACAGAGGUCCCAAGCGUUGUUCGGAUUCAUUGGGCGUAAAGGGUGCGUAGGUGGCAUGGUAAGUCGGGUGUGAAAUCCCGGGGCUCAACCCCGGAACUGCACUCGAUACUACCGUGCUCGAGUACUGGAGAGGAGACUGGAAUUUACGGUGUAGCAGUGAAAUGCGUAGAUAUUGGGAAGAACACCUGAGGCGAAGGCGGGUUGCUGGGCUGAUACUGACGCUGAGGCGCGAAAGCCAGGGGAGCAAACGGG
rnacentral:rRNA from 1 species